rnacentral:rRNA from 1 species
CCUACGGGUGGCAGCAGUGAGGAAUAUUGGUCAAUGGACGCGAGGCUGAACCAGCCAAGUCGCGUGAGGGAUGACGGCCCUACGGGUUGUAAACUUCUUUUGUAAGGGAGCAAGGUGCAGUAUGUGUACUGCUUUGAAUGUACCUUAUGAAUAAGCAUCGGCUAACUCCGUGCCAGCAGCCGCGGUAAUACGGAGGAUCCGAGCGUUAUCCGGAUUUAUUGGGUUUAAAGGGUGCGUAGGCGGGGGGUUAAGUCAGGGGUGAAAUGUGGGGGCUCAACCCCGCAUCUGCCGUUAAUACUGUGAGCCUGGAGUGCGGUAAGGGUAGGCGGAAUGCGUGGUGUAGCGGUGAAAUGCUUAGAUAUCACGCAGAACUCCGAUUGCGAAGGCAGCCUGCCGGACUGUAACUGACGCUGAUGCACGAAAGCGUGGGUAUCAAACAGGAUUAGAUACCCGUGUAGUC